CAUGUGGUUUAAUUCGACGAUAAGCGAGGAACCUUACCAGGGCUAGACACCCUGAUGAAACUCUAUAGAAAUAUAGAGCCUCUUCAAGGACAUCAGGAUCAGGUGGUGCACGGUUGUCGUCAGCCUGAGUUGUAAAAUGCUCCCUUAAAUGGGGUAUCAGGCGCAACCCUUACUCUGUGUUACAAGUGUCACAGAGGACUGCCUCUGAAUAGGAGGAGGAAGGCGAGGAUGACGCCAAAUCUGCGUGUCCCUUUGAUGCUCUGGGCCACACACAUGGUACAAUGGUUAGGACAAUGGGUUGCCAAGCCGUAAGGCGGAGCUAAUCCCAUCAAACCUAGCCCCAGUUCGGAUUGAGGGCUGAAACUCGCCCUCAUGAAGCCGGAAUCGCUAGUAAUCGCGGAUCAGCCAUGCCGCGGUGAAUACGUUCUCAUCUCUUGUACUCACCGCCCGUCACACUGGGGAAGUCGGUAAUCCCCGAAG
rnacentral:rRNA from 1 species